rnacentral:rRNA from 1 species
CCUGAUGCAGCCAUGCCGCGUGUAUGAUGACGGCCUUCGGGUUGUAAAGUACUUUCAGUGGGGAGGAAGGCGAUGAGGUUAAUAACCUCGUCGAUUGACGUUACCCGCACAAGAAGCACCGGCUAACUCCGUGCCAGCAGCCGCGGUAAUACGGAGGGUGCGAGCGUUAAUCGGAAUUACUGGGCGUAAAGCGCACGCAGGCGGUCUGUCAAGUCGGAUGUGAAAUCCCCGGGCUCAACCUGGGAACUGCAUUCCAAACUGGCAGACUAGAGUCUUGUAGAGGGGGGUAGAAUUCCAGGUGUAGCGGUGAAAUGCGUAGAGAUCUGGAGGAAUACCGGUGGCGAAGGCGGCCCCCUGGACAAAGACUGACGCUCAGGUGCGAAAGCGUGGGGAGCAAACAGGAUUAGAUACCCUGGUAGUCCACGCCGUAGACGAUGUCCACUUGGAGGUUGUGCCCUUGAGGCGUGGCUUCCGGAGCUAACGCGUUAAGUCGACCGCCUGGGGAGUACGGCCGCAAGGUUAAAACUCCCAUGAAUUGACGGGGGCCCGCACAAGCGGUGGAGCAUGUGGUUUAAUUCGAUGCAACGCGAAGAACCUUACCUGGCCUUGACAUCCACGGA